rnacentral:rRNA from 1 species
UGAGUAGGCGGGAUGUUGCGUCCCUGGUGAAAUCUCCUGGCUUAACUGGGAGGGGUUCAGGGAGACGGGCAUUCUUGAGGUCUGGAGAGGGUAGCAGAAUUCCCGGUGUAACAGUGAAAUGUGUAGAUAUCGGGAGGAAUACCGGAGGGGAAGCCGGCUAUCUGGCCAGGACCUGACGCUGAGGCACGAAAGCUUGGGGAGCAAACAGGAUUAGAUACCCUGGUAGUCCAAGCUGUAAACGAUGUCCACUAGGUGUACGGGGUAUCGACCCCCUGUGUGCCGGAGGAAACCCAAUAAGUGGACCGCCUGGGGAGUACGGUCGCAAGAUUAAA